rnacentral:tRNA from 1 species
UGGGGUGUAGCCAAGUGGUUAAGGCACCGGUUUUUGAUACCGGUAACCCUGGUUCAAAUCCAGGCACCUCAG